rnacentral:rRNA from 1 species
AUCUACAGCCAUACCCCUCUGAACACACCCGAUCUCUGAUCUCAGAAGCUAAGCAGAGUCUGGCCUGGUGAGUACUCGGAUGGGAGAAAAGAAGACAUAAUCAAAACACUGGGCUGUUGUGAAGC